ACGAACGCUGGCGGCGUGCUUAACACAUGCAAGUCGAACGGAAAGGCCCUGCUUUUGUGGGGUGCUCGAGUGGCGAACGGGUGAGUAACACGUGAGUAACCUGCCCUUGACUUUGGGAUAACUUCAGGAAACUGGGGCUAAUACCGGAUAGGAGCUCCUGCUGCAUGGUGGGGGUUGGAAAGUUUCGGCGGUUGGGGAUGGACUCGCGGCUUAUCAGCUUGUUGGUGGGGUAGUGGCUUACCAAGGCUUUGACGGGUAGCCGGCCUGAGAGGGUGACCGGCCACAUUGGGACUGAGAUACGGCCCAGACUCCUACGGGAGCAGCAGUGGGGAAUAUUGCACAAUGGGCGGAAGCCUGAUGCAGCAACGCCGCGUGCGGGAUGACGGCCUUCGGGUUGUAAACCGCUUUCGCCUGUGACGAAGCGUGAGUGACGGUAAUGGGUAAAGAAGCACCGGCUAACUACGUG
rnacentral:rRNA from 1 species